rnacentral:rRNA from 1 species
CCUACGGGGGGCAGCAGUGGGGAAUAUUGGACAAUGGGGGCAACCCUGAUCCAGCCAUGCCGCGUGUGUGAAGAAGGCCCUCGGGUUGUAAAGCACUUUCAGUGAGGAAGAACGCCUGGUGGUUAAUACCCAUCAGGAAAGACAUCACUCACAGAAGAAGCACCGGCUAACUCCGUGCCAGCAGCCGCGGUAAUACGGAGGGUGCGAGCGUUAAUCGGAAUUACUGGGCGUAAAGCGCGCGUAGGUGGCUUGAUAAGCCGGUUGUGAAAGCCCCGGGCUCAACCUGGGAACGGCAUCCGGAACUGUCAAGCUAGAGUGCAGGAGAGGAAGGUAGAAUUCCCGGUGUAGCGGUGAAAUGCGUAGAGAUCGGGAGGAAUACCAGUGGCGAAGGCGGCCUUCUGGACUGACACUGACACUGAGGUGCGAAAGCGUGGGUAGCAAACAGGAUUAGAUACCCCUGUAGUA